GAUGAACGCUGGCGGCGUGCCUAAUACAUGCAAGUCGAGCGAACAGACGAGGAGCUUGCUCCUCUGACGUUAGCUGCGGACGGGUGAGUAACACGUGGAUAACCUACCUAUCAGACUGGGAUAACUUCGGGAAACCGGUGCUUACUACGGCUAAAUUAUUGAACCGCAUGGCACAAUAAUGAUAGACAGUUUUGCUGUCACUUAUAGAUGGAUUCGCGCCUCAUUAGCUAGUUGGUAAGGUAACGGCUUACCAAGGCGACGAUGCGUAGCCGACCUGAGAGGACGAUCGGCCACCCGAGUGCUGAGACGAGGGGCAAAAUCCUAAGUGAGAUAGCAGUCGGGAACCUUCGGGAAGGGGCGAUCGCGUGAAGGAGCAAAGGGAGGAAAGUCAUAAGGAGUGUCGGAGCGUAUAACAAUGUUAUUAGGGAAGAACAAAUGUGUAAGGAAAUAGAAACGACGGGACGGUACCUAAUCAGAAAGCCACGGCUAACUACGUG
rnacentral:rRNA from 1 species